rnacentral:rRNA from 1 species
AACGAACGCUGGCGGCAUGCCUAACACAUGCGAGUCGAACGAGACCUUCGGGUCUAGUGGCGCACGGGUGCGUAACGCGUGGGAACCUGCCCUUAGGUCCGGAAUAACUCCCCGAAAGGGGUGCUAAUACCGGAUAAUGUCUUCGGACCAAAGAUUUAUCGCCUUUGGAUGGGCCCGCGUUGGAUUAGCUAGUUGGUAGGGUAAAAGCCUACCAAGGCGACGAUCCAUAGCUGGUCUGAGAGGAUGAUCAGCCACACUGGGACUGAGACACGGCCCAGACUCCUACGGGAGGCAGCAGUGGGGAAUAUUGGACAAUGGGCGAAAGCCUGAUCCAGCAAUGCCGCGUGAGUGAUGAAGGCCUUAGGGUUGUAAAGCUCUUUUACCCGGGAUGAUAAUGACAGUACCGGGAGAAUAAGCUCCGGCUAACUCCGUG